rnacentral:rRNA from 1 species
GACGGAGGAUGCAAGUGUUAUCCGGAAUCACUGGGCGUAAAGCGUCUGUAGGUGGUCAAAUAAGUCAACUGUUAAAUCUUGAGGCUCAACCUCAAAAUCGCAGUCGAAACUAUUAGACUAGAGUAUAGUAGGGGUAAAGGGAAUUUCCAGUGGAGCGGUGAAAUGCGUAGAGAUUGGAAAGAACACCGAUGGCGAAGGCACUUUACUGGGCUAUUACUAACACUCAGAGACGAAAGCUAGGGUAGCAAAUAGG